CGUGUAGGCGGCCUAAUAAGUUAGAAGUGAAACCUAUCGGCUCAACUGAUAGCCUGCUUCUAAAACUGCUAAGCUUGAGUGCAGAAGAGGGGGAGUGGAAUUCCCAGUGUAGCGGUGAAAUGCGUAGAUAUUGGGAGGAACACCAGUGGCGAAAGCGGCUCCCUGGUCUGUAACUGACGCUGAGGCGCGAAAGCGUGGGUAGCAAACAG
rnacentral:rRNA from 1 species